rnacentral:rRNA from 1 species
GACGAACGCUGGCGGCGUGCCUAAUACAUGCAAGUCGAACGCUUCUUUCCUCCCGAGUGCUUGCACUCAAUUGGAAAGAGGAGUGGCGGACGGGUGAGUAACACGUCGGUAACCUACCCAUCAGAGGGGGAUAACACUCGGAAACAGGUGCUAAUACCGCAUAACAGUUUAUGCCGCAUGGCAUAAGAGUGAAAGGCGCUUUCGGGUGUCGCUGAUGGAUGGACCCGCGGUGCAUUAGGUAGUUGGUGGGGUAACGGCUCACCAAGGCGACGAUGCAUAGCCGACCGGAGAGGGUGAUCGGCCACACGGGGACGGAGACACGGCCCAGACUCCUACGGGAGGCAGCAGUAGGGAAUCUUCGGCAAUGGACGAAAGUCUGACCGAGCAACGCCGCGUGAGUGAAGAAGGUUUUCGGAGCGUAAAACUCUGUUGUUAGAGAAGAACAAGGACGGUAGUAACUGAACGUCCCCUGACGGUAUCUAACCAGAAAGCCACGGCUAACUACGUG